GAGCGAAGCUCCUGGAUGCGCUGAGGCUCCGGGAUCAGUUUGACAUGUUUUCUACACAUCGGUUGGGCCAUGUCUUUUCCAAGGGUCUGCUGAAGCUCAAUACAGUUUAGCAUCGUGUUCUGAAGUUGAGAAUUACUUUAUAGUGGGAGUGAAAACACGACAACAUUGAAAACCACACUGCCAUAUCUAAG